ensembl:lncRNA
UCCAAACACAACAGAGCCGAAGGUUACAUAGAAAUAAUCCCGCACAACAACCAGGCGGGCCGGCUGUCUAAUAAAGACAAACUAAUUAACCCUACACAGGUGCUACCACUAAACAUACAAGGAGGGGGAGGAAAAACAAUCAGUGGCAGCUAAUAGGCCGGUGACGACGACCGCCGAGCGCCACCCGCCCGGGAAAAGGAAACACCCUCGGUCGGACUCGUGACAGAACCUAUAGCAGUAAUGUAAAAUGAUCUGUCCCUCAGCCUAAUACAGGGUGGUAGUGUAACAUAGUGAUGUAGUGAGGUAUCAUGGUAUUAGUAUAACAGUAUCAUGGUGGUAGUAUAACAGUGAGGUAUCAGGGUGGUAGUAUAACAGUAUCAGGGUGGUAGUAUAACAGUAUCAGGGUGGUAGUAUAACAGUAUCAGGGUGGUAGUAUAACAGUAUCAGGGUGGUAGUAUAACAGUAUCAGGGUGGUAGUAUAACAGUAUCAGGGUGGUAGUAUAACAGUGAGGUAUCAGGGUGGUAGUAUAACAGUAUCAGGGUGGUAGUAUAACAGUAUCAGGGUGGUAGUAUAACAGUGAGGUAUCAGGGUGGUAGUGUAAUUUAGUGAUGUGGUGAGGCAUUAUGUCAGGAUGUCUUCUCUUAGCAGUCACCACCAGCAGUACAGACCUCAUUAUUACAGGUCUGUGGCAGUAAGGCAGGCAGGCAUCUCUUACCCAGCUCUAGCCUCUCGUCUAGCCACUAUCUUCUCCACUGGCUGAAGGACUCACUAAUGCUUUCCCAUUCCUUACUGAGUGACACUACGGGCGUGGCGCUCUUCUAAUGAAACCUUUUUGUCAUUCUGGGUUUGGGAGAGCUGCAGCCCAGUUCAGCUUUCC